GCAAGUCUCAUCUCCAAAAUGU
rnacentral:siRNA from 1 species